rnacentral:tRNA from 1 species
GUUGUUUUAUUGAAUGUUAUAAUGGUAUGUAGGAAUUUCGGACGCGGGUUCAACUCCCGCCAGCUCCACCA